rfam:Triticum aestivum genome assembly, contig: Triticum_aestivum_CS42_TGACv1_scaffold_435912_5DL
AUACUACUCCCUCCGUCCCAAAAUUGUUGUCUUAAAUUUGUCUAAAUACGGAUGUAUCAAGUCACAUUUUAGUAUUCCGUAUCUAGACAAAUCUAAAAUAAGAAGUUUGGGACGGAGGGAGUACCGA